GAAAGCGUGGGGAGCAAACAGGAUUAGAUACCNNGGUAGUCCACGCCGUAAACGAUGUCUACUUGGAGGUUGUGCCCUAGAGGCGUGGCUUUCGGAGCUAACGCGUUAAGUAGACCGCCUGGGGAGUACGGUCGCAAGAUUAAAACUCAAAUGAAUUGACGGGGGCCCGCACAAGCGGUGGAGCAUGUGGUUUAAUUNGAUGCAACGCGAANAACCUUACCUACUCUUGACAUCCAGAGAAUCUAGCGGAGACGCUGGAGUGCCUUCGGGAGCUNUGAGACAGGUGCUGCAUGGCUGUCGUCAGCUCGUGUUGUGAAAUGUUGGGUUAAGUCCCGCAACGAGCGCAACCCUUAUCCUUGUUUGCCAGCACGUAAUGGUGGGAACUCCAGGGAGACUGCCGGUGAUAAACCGGAGGAAGGUGGGGACGACGUCAAGUCAUCAUGGCCCUUACGAGUAGGGCUACACACNUGCUNCAAUGGCGUAUACAGAGGGCAGCGAUACCGCGAGGUGGAGCGAAUCUCACAAAGUACGUCGUAGUCCGGA
rnacentral:rRNA from 1 species